AGCUAGCUGACGAGUCCCAAAUAGGAUGAAAUGAGUAUUGUCCUGGAU
rnacentral:hammerhead_ribozyme from 1 species